AUUGAACGCUGGCGGCAGGCCUAACACAUGCAAGUCGAACGAGUGGCGGACGGGUGAGUAAUGUCUGGGAAACUGCCCGAUGGAGGGGGAUAACUACUGGAAACGGUAGCUAAUACCGCAUACCAUCGGAUGAGCCCAGAUGGGAUUAACUAGUAGGUUGGGUAAUGGCUCACCUAGGCGACGAUCCCUAGAUGGUCUGAUAUGAUGACCAGCCACACUGGAACUGAGAAACGGUGCAGACGCCUACUGGAGGCAUCAGGGGGGAAUAUUGCACAAUGGGCGCAAGCCUGAUGCAGCCAUGCCGCGUGUAUGAAGAAGGCCUGCGGGUUGUAAAGUACUUUCAGCGGGGAGGCGUUACCCGCAGAAGAAGCACCGGCUAACUCCGUGCCAGCAGCCGCGGUAAUUC
rnacentral:rRNA from 1 species